GCCGAGGUAGCUCAGUUGGUAGAGCGUCCGCCUGAAGAGCGGUAGGUCCCCAGUUCGAUCCUGGGCCUCGGCA
rnacentral:tRNA from 1 species